CCUGGAGAAUCGGGGCGAAGCCUGACGCAGCGACGCCGCGUGAGGGAUGAAGGUUUUCGGAUCGUAAACCUCUGUCUUAAGGGAAGAAACCGCACCGUGCUAAUCAGCGGUGCAUUGACGGUACCUUCAAAGGAAGCACCGGCUAACUCCGUGCCAGCAGCCGCGGUAAUA
rnacentral:rRNA from 1 species